AACGAACGCUGGCGGCAUGCCUAACACAUGCAAGUCGAACGGGAUCCUAGCUUGCUAGGUGAGAGUGGCGGACGGGUGAGUAACACGUGGGAAUCUGCCUUUUGGUUCGGGAUAACCGCGGAAACUGCGGCUAAUACCGAAUGCCCUCGAGAGAGGAAAGAUUUAUCGCCAGAAGAGGAGCCCGCGUCCGAUUUAGGUAGUUGGUGGGGUAAAGGCCUACCAAGCCGACGAUCGGUAGCUGGUCUGAGAGGAUGAUCAGCCACACUGGACUGAGAUACGGCCCAGACUCCUACGGGAGGCAGCAGUGGGGAAUAUUGGACAAUGGGGCAACCCUGAUCCAGCAAUGCCGCGUGAGUGAUGAAGGCCUUAGGGUUGUAAAGCUC
rnacentral:rRNA from 1 species